UUGAGGUAGGUCUGUAGAGCUAUGAACUUCCCUCUCAGGACUGCUUUCACUGUGUCCCACAGAUUUUGGUUCUUUGUGGUUUAAAAGAAAUAUUUAAGUUAUAAUGACUUAAAAUCCUGUCUAAUUUUCUCACCCUUUAGAAUGUCAUGUUUUUGGAUUUGGCAAAAUUAUAUGACUUUCAGUACAUUUAAAGAAAGGAAUUAGGGAUUCUACAGUAAUGAGCAGUCGUUUUAGGUUACUUGUCUUUUAACUUUUGUAUAUUAACCUAUAGAAGGACAAUAGACAUAAUUUACUAAUAAAGAGGACUAAGAGAAUACCGAAUCAGGCAACUAUCAUAAACUUUUUAAAACCCUCUAAGACUGAAUUCGUAGAAUUCAAGAUUCAUUCUAGAGUAAAAUCAACUUUGUCAAUUAGAUUGCUUCUUGACUUUUAGACGCAGGCCCACCUAAAAGGGGAGACUGAGAAAAGCUGAGGGUAUGGCAUAUGUUUGUAAAAAAUCAACUUUCCUUCUAAACUGACUCAGUAAGAACUGGGUGUCAAGGAACAUCAAAGCUUCAGAGGGCACAGAAAGAGUCCUCAAUGGUGGAUCCUGGUUUUGUUGUUUCCUCCAGAGCAUUUUACAUGUUCAGUGACAUUUGUUAAUAUGAUAGCAAAUCUGUAAAGCCACUAGAACCAAACAAAGGUCACUUCAAAGUACCCAGCUUACGAAGAAUGGAGCAGCCAUAUCCCUAGGAAAUUAUCAAAGCCAAGCUCAGUU